UACGGAGGGUGCGAGCGUUGUCCGGAAUCACUGGGCGUAAAGGGCGCGUAGGCGGCAUGCCAAGCGUGUUGGUGAAAGCCCGGGGCUCAACCCCGGGUCGGCCGUGCGGACUGGCGUGCUCGAGCACUGGUAGGGCGGGUGGAAGUCCGGGAUGUGAGCGGUGGGAAUGACGUAGAGAUCCGGAAGAACACCGGUGGCGAAGGCGGCCCGCUGGGCAGGAAGGCUCGGCAAGAGCCGGC
rnacentral:rRNA from 1 species